rnacentral:rRNA from 1 species
GGACGGNGCUAGCGUUGUUCGGAAUUACUGGGCGUAAAGGGCGCGUAGGCGGCGCGAUAAGUUGGGCGUGAAAGGCCCGGGCUCAACCCGGGGACUGCGCUUGAUACUGUCGCGCUGUGAGUCCGGGAGAGGAUGGCGGAAUUCCCAGUGUAGAGGUGAAAUUCGUAGAUAUUGGGAAGAACACCGGUGGCGAAGGCGGCCAUCUGGACCGGCACUGACGCUGAGGCGCGAAAGCGUGGGGAGCAAACAGGAUUAGAUACCCUGGUAGUCCACGCCGUAAACGAUGCGUGCUAGACGUUGGGGGGCUUGCCCUUCGGUGUCGUCGCUAACGCAUGAAGCACGCCGCCUGGGGAGUACGGUCGCAAGAUUA